CAGCAGCCACGGGAAUACGUAGGGCGCAAGCGCUAAUCGGAAUUACUGGGCGUAAAGCGUGCGCAGGCGGUUUGUUAAGACAGAUGUGAAAUCCCCGGGCUCAACCUGGGAACUGCAUUUGUGACUGACAAGCUAGAGUGUGGCAGAGGGGGGUGGAAUUCCGCGUGUAGCAGUGAAAUGCGUAGAUAUGCGGAGGAACACCGAUGGCGAAGGCAGCCCCCUGGGCCAACACUGACGCUCAUGCACGAAAGCGUGGGGAGCAAACAGGAUUAGAUACCCCUGUAGUCCCUGUCUCUUAUAC
rnacentral:rRNA from 1 species